rnacentral:rRNA from 1 species
UGGGGAAUAUUGCACAAUGGAGGGAACUCUGAUGCAGCGACGCCGCGUGAACGAAGAAGGCUUUCGAGUCGUAAAGUUCUUUUAUAUGGGAAGAUAAUGACGGUACCAAAAGAAGAAGCCCCGGCUAACUACGUGCCAGCAGCCGCGGUAAUACGUAGGGGGCUAGCGUUGUCCGGAAUCACUGGGCGUAAAGGGUUCGCAGGCGGAAAUGCAAGUCAGGUGUAAAAGGCAGUAGCUUAACUACUGUAAGCAUUUGAAACUGCAUAUCUUGAGAAGAGUAGAGGUAAGUGGAAUUUUUAGUGUAGCGGUGAAAUGCGUAGAUAUUAAAAAGAAUACCGGUGGCGAAGGCGACUUACUGGGCUCAUUCUGACGCUGAGGAACGAAAGCGUGGGUAGCAAACAGG